rnacentral:rRNA from 1 species
AGUGAACGCUGGCGGUAGGCCUAACACAUGCAAGUCGAACGGCAGCACAGUAAGAGCUUGCUCUUACGGGUGGCGAGUGGCGGACGGGUGAGGAAUACAUCGGAAUCUACUUUUUCGUGGGGGAUAACGUAGGGAAACUUACGCUAAUACCGCAUACGUCCUACGGGUGAAAGCAGGGGAUCUUCGGACCUUGCGCGAUUGAAUGAGCCGAUGUCGGAUUAGCUAGUUGGCGGGGUAAAGGCCCACCAAGGCGACGAUCCGUAGCUGGUCUGAGAGGAUGAUCAGCCACACUGGAACUGAGACACGGUCCAGACUCCUACGGGAGGCAGCAGUGGGGAAUAUUGGACAAUGGGCGCAAGCCUGAUCCAGCCAUACCGCGUGGGUGAAGAAGGCCUUCGGGUUGUAAAGCCCUUUUGUUGGGAAAGAAAAGCAGCAGGUUAAUACGCCGCUGUUCUGACGGUACCCAAAGAAUAAGCACCGGCUAACUUCGUG